rnacentral:sRNA from 1 species
AAACGUGGCACUCCCGGGCAGUGCUACAGAU